rnacentral:rRNA from 1 species
GUGGGGAAUCUUGCGCAAUGGGCGAAAGCCUGACGCAGCCAUGCCGCGUGAAUGAUGAAGGUCUUAGGAUUGUAAAAUUCUUUCACCGGGGACGAUAAUGACGGUACCCGGAGAAGAAGCUCCGGCUAACUUCGUGCCAGCAGCCGCGGUAAUACGAAGGGGGCUAGCGUUGCUCGGAAUUACUGGGCGUAAAGGGCGCGUAGGCGGACAGCUUAGUCAGAGGUGAAAGCCCAGGGCUCAACCUUGGAAUUGCCUUUGAUACUGGCUGGCUUGAGUUUGGGAGAGGUGAGUGGAACUCCGAGUGGAGAGGUGAAAUUCGUAGAUAUUCGGAAGAACACCAGUGGCGAAGGCGACUCACUGGCCCAAUACUGACGCUGAGGCGCGAAAGCGUGGGGAGCAAACAGGAUUAGAUACCCGUGUAGUCC